rnacentral:pre_miRNA from 1 species
AAAGUACUCCCUCCGUCCCAAAAUUCUUGUCUUAUAUUUGUCUAGAUACGAAUGUAUCAAGUCACAUUUUAGUAUUAGAUACAUCCGUAUCUAGACAAAUCUAAGACAAGAAAUUUGGGACAGAGGGAGUAGUUG